rnacentral:rRNA from 1 species
AACGAACGCUGGCGGCAGGCUUAACACAUGCAAGUCGAACGCAUCCUUCGGGGUGAGUGGCAGACGGGUGAGUAACGCGUGGGAACGUGCCCUUCAGUUCGGGAUAACCCAGGGAAACUUGGGCUAAUACCGGAUACGUGCGAGAGCAGAAAGAUUUAUCGCUGAAGGAUCGGCCCGCGUCUGAUUAGCUAGUUGGUGGGGUAAUGGCCCACCAAGGCGACGAUCAGUAGCUGGUGUGAGAGGAUGAUCAGCCACAUUGGGACUGAGACACGGCCCAAACUCCUACGGGAGGCAGCAGUGGGGAAUAUUGGACAAUGGGCGCUAGCCUGAUCCAGCCAUGCCGCGUGAGUGAUGAAGGCCUUAGGGUUGUAAAGCUCUUUCGUCCGGGACGAUAAUGACGGUACCGGAAGAAGAAGCCCCGGCUAACUUCGUGCCAGCAGCCGCCGUAA